AUGCUGACUGUUUUGCUUGCUCUUUUACCUGGUGCUGGGGUCGGAAACCUCAUCACACAGUGGCCAGAAGAAACCCUUAAGAGAGCUGGAGAGACUGUGGACAUCUCCUGCUACCAGAAUUUUAUCAGACUUGCCUAUGUGUUCUGGUACCAGCAGCCUCCAAGAAAUGGUCUGAAGUUAGUAGCCAGUACUUCUACAUGGAUGCAAAAUUCUUACGAGGAAGGUUACAGUGAGGCCAAGUUUGAAAUAAGCAGAGACAAUAAUGAUUACUCUGUGAUGACGAUCAAGAAUGUGACAUCCAAGGAUGCAGCCACGUAUUUCUGUGCUGCGAGUGAUCACACGGUAUUGCGAGGGGGUUGA